rnacentral:ribozyme from 1 species
UGCCCAGCAACUCCUAUCCCUACCUCCUCGCGGUACCGGAAACUAUGAGCAACCUUAGGGAAGAUCGGGUAACCAACCCCGGUGGGAACUUUGGUCGUGGCUGACAGGGAAGG